UGGCUCCCUUUAUAGAAACAGGCACCUUUGAAGGAUAAUUAAUCUUUCCUUUUCAGCCACUCAACCUUUGGGAGGUGGAAACUCGUGAUUUCCUACAGCUUUUUCUUUGAAUAAAGCCACUCCACUUUCAUCUGUUUCGUGCUUGUUUUGCAGGAGUAUGCAGCGUGGAAAAGAAAGCAAGAUGUCAGUCUUCAAAAAAUUCAAUCCAAUUUCUUUGGAGUAGUAAGCACACAGCCAAAUUUUUCAGGUUUCAGCAACUGUUACAUAUUUAUGGGACGGUAGUGCCUGAAAGCCUCAAUCACUCUCCUGUAUAUAAGGACACCACAUACCUGCAGUGGGAAAGCUUCUGAAGAGCAUCUAGAAGACCUUGGGCUCUGAAAGACCAGGAGGACUGAGUACACAAGUGGUAGCACCAGUACCUGCUCCGGGAAUGACAGCAUCGGUGACCUUCUAAUGUCCCAGAAGACUGCACAAAUCCUUUCACCCUUGCUAUUUAAAGUGUUUGUGGGUGAAUAACAUGAAUACCAGUGAGAAAUACCUAUAGGUUAACUUUAAUGUUCUGCACAGAAGAGAGGGGAAACAAGCCAAGGCUGUGAUAGGAAAUGUCGCUGCACAACUCAGAACUGAAAGUUUUCUCUUUAAGUAAACUGCUGAUUGUUAAAGUACUUACAGAUCUGCUGGUCAAAAGAGCUAAAUGCAGGGAUGACACUGUAGUCUUCUGGGUUGCUUGCAAGCCUCAGGAAGCAUGGAGAAGCUGCAAGGGAUCUGACAGACUGGAUGGAUGCAGAACUGUACAGAGGUGCCAGAGACGUUAUUCAUUUUUUCCCCACUUUGGAGCUCAAGAGAAGAGAAAUCCGACUGAACCAAACCUGUAAACAUUGAAGUUUUACCUCUUUUUCUGCACGUAAUCCAAGAGAUAAAGCUGAGUGUUAAUAAGGAUUUCUAGCACAUUACUUUCUACACCCUGCUUCAAGCAAUAGGUGCAGUUUUUGCUGAAACAUCAAGUCAAGGAGUAGAGAUGUGGAAAACAGAUCAGCUCCAAGGACAGAGAUGAUCUUCUCAUAAAUUAUUUUGCUGCCAAAUGAGAAAAAAGAGAAGAUGGAGACCAUGCUGAGAGAUGGUACUUUUUAUUUGAAGAAGAAAGCUCUGACUACUCAUGAUGUUGCAGUGCCAGUAGCUUAGGCUAAAUGAUUACCAGAUUUUGUGACACAACAUUUGGCAGGAUUUAACAAGUUGUUUGUGAGCUGGUUGGGAGAUAGGCAGUAGACUCUUCGCUGAACUAAAGCCUGAAAGGCAAUUUCAGUCUAUAGAACAUGACAAAGAUAAUUAAUUAAUAGAACAUGACAAAGAUUAAUCAUAGAAUUAUAAAAUAGUUUGAUUUGGAAGAGACCUUAAAAAACCUCUAGUUCCAUCCCCCCUGCCUUGUGCAGGAACACCUUCUACUAUACCAAGUUGCUCAGAGCCAGCCUAGCCUUUGAACACUGACAGGGUUGACACAUCCAAAAUUUCUCUGGAAAACGUGUUCCAGUGCCUCACCACCCUCACAGCAAAAAUUACCAGUAGCAACUUUAAAAUAUCAGUUGCUGCAAAAAAAACUGGAAGGAAAGAAGCUCUUUUAUAAAUGGCAGGGGAAUGUGUAGUAGCAAUUUUACCUACUGGUGCACUUAUCCUUUGAGAGCCUUAUUUGUCCAGGUUAUAAUCUCUGCAAGAAACAGAUAUUCAUUAAGAUAAUUCACAAGGGAAGACAGGGGAAAGCCAUUUUCCCUCAUGAUGAUUAAAUCCUCACUUCUGAAAAUUUUUAAUUAAAACGGGUUUUUAUAGCAUUUCCCAUAUCCAAAAUAAAUUAUUACUUUCCUUCUAAAAAUGUAACCUUAUCCCAGUGAAAAUACCAGUUCUCAGAGAUAUGCAUUUUUCCAAAAGAAUUUUGUUUUCAUUUGAAAAUAUUGUUCAAGGAUAAAGAUGAUUUAUUAGCAUACAAAGAUGAACAGCUAAACAGGCACAAACAUGAGUAAAUACACCAAAAGUUAUUUUUUAUGUUUUCUGUUCUCAUCUUAAUCGGGAUCUGUUGAUUGGAAUGCAACUGAAAACCAUAGAUAAACAUAGAAAGUACUGUGUAACAGGUUCUUAGUUGUUUUAUUUAAUGGAUUUAGUGGCAUUGGUUGAGGGUGCCUAAAGAAAUUUAAAAACAGUUGUUACAAGUGAAAAUCUGAAAAUCAAUAUUUUUUGUGAAAAAGUUAAAUCCGGUCUGUCAUGACUAAGAAGAUAUUUAGAAAAUAGCCCAUAUAAAUAAAGAAAUCUCUAAAUAUUACUUGGAGAGUUUUCUUUUUAGUUUAUUAAAAGGAAUCAAAUUAGAGGAAAGAAAGGCUGCAAAUGCAUCAUAUAGUGGAAUGAAGUGCAUGGUUCUUCCAUAUGUACAGCUGAAGACCUGCAAUUUUUGCUGAAGAAUUGCACUUUACUAGACACAAGAUAGCAAGUGGGACAAAAUUAAAUCUUGUUUUAUCAAGGGGAUAGACUAGACAACCUCGUGGGCAUUUUCUAUGAUUUUAACACUCUUUUACUUGAAAGUAACAGAGUUACUCUUCAGGUCUGGAAGAAUGACUAAUGAUUUGAGGAGACACACUCUCAAUAAAUAGAGGUGUUUUAUUAUUGAGACUCUUUGUUCUCACAAUGCGAAUGUUCUUCUAUGACAGCUGAGCAGCCUCUGUCCCUGUCUGUGGCAGGGGUAUUGGACUAGAUGGUUUUAAAGGUCAGUUCCAACCCAAAUAAUUCCACAAUUAUUAACUUAAGAGUAAAAUAUGAAAGACUUGUGAAGUUCAGGAGCUACUGAUUCCAGACAAAGAAAUAAAGUUACUUUUCUAAAAUACUUCUGUGUAUUUGGGGUUGGAAUGGCCAAGUUGGACAUCAUACAUGAUAAGCUACCAUUGACCACUUUGUGUGAUAGUUAACUUGGCAACAUGCUACCAUCUGCAGAUUAAAAUUUAAAUCUGCAAUUUAAAAAUGAUUUAAAAUAUAGCAGAAUUAAGAAGAUGCUGUAGGUGGCAAGUAGUUCUUAUUUUCAUAUUUUAAAAUUUAUAAAAUAAAACAGUCAACCAAGUAAAAUUGUACAUAUUUUAAAAAUUUUAUAAGAGUCUGUACACAUCAACUUUUCCUUUUUCUCCAGGCAAUUUUGAACAUUAAGAAGUUUGGAAAAAUUUCAGCAAAGUGUUAAAAGUUUUUAAUACUUUUAUGAAAGGCACCUCUAUCUGUCUUUUAUUAAUAUAUGUUGCACAAUAAGGCUACAAUAAUCUUUCAUCUGUCCAUUGAGCAAUUUUGAUGAAAAGAAGAAGAGUUUUGUAUUGGUUUACCUUGCCUAAAAAAGGGUAGAUGCCUUUCACAUUUUCAGAAAGAAAAAAUAUGUGAAAUGAAUUUUCAUUAAUGAGCCAAACUUUCAGAAGAAUACUUCUGUUCUUAAAAAUAUUAUCUGUCUGGUUUUUAAAACUAAGAAUUUUUAGAAGAACAAAUUUGUCAUUAUCAGACAAGAAGGAGGAAAUAAAAAUAUACUUAUCUAAAAACCUGUAUAAAGUUAACUGUUUAUUUCUCCUUUCCAUAAAUUGCAAAUUGGUAAGCCCUUAUGUGUGAGUAGUAUGUAUGAAUGCAGGCACUUUAUAAAUGCGUUUCUGAGGUCAUAGAAUUAAUUACCACACCAUCAUGUACAUAACUAGAAGAGUACUUUGCAACCUUUUUUCCAUGUGCUCUGCUUCGCAAAAAAAAAUUCUUUGACUAUAGAUCUUUGGUAUGUCAUGGUGACUCUUAUUUGUCUUCAUAUGCUGCUACGUGGUUGGAAACUGAAGUUGAAUUGCUUAUCACUUAUCGCUUGAUUUCAGUCUUGGUUGCAUGGUUGCAUGGUUGCAUUAUAACCAGCAUUAUAACAUUAUAUUGGUUUAACAAUGGUGAACACAUAUAUUUUUCUUUGGGAAAAUGGUGGCAUUGGGCUGAUAUUUGACUAACUAAUGGGUCAUAUAAAAUGUUUUUAUAAAUAAGUUUCCUUGGAUGCGGAAUGUUCUUUUACUCCUGUUUCAGCUCACAUAAAAAUCCAUUCUACUCGUAAAGGGUCUUGAUUCUAUUUCACAUAUUUAGAAGCAGAAUUGGAAGACCUGAAUUGCACUGUAACAUUGCAAAUGUAAUGUAGUCACCAUAGAGAAAGUUUAAUUAUUCUAUUGUUUAGUAAGCAGGUCAACAAGAAAUAAAAAGUCUAACUCUACCUUUGGUUUCUGAACAA